rnacentral:rRNA from 1 species
CGUGUAGGCGGCUCAUCAAGUCUGGUGUGAAAUCGCAAGGCUUAACCUUGCAUAGGCGCUGGAAACUGGUGGGCUUGAGUUCUUGAGGGGAAGCUGGAAUUCCAGGUGUAGGGGUGAAAUCUGUAGAUAUCUGGAAGAACACCGGUGGCGAAGGGGAGCUUCUAUCAGAGGACUGACGCUGAGGCGCGAAAGCGUGGGGAGCAAACAGGAUUAGAUACCCUGGUAGUCCACGCUGUAAACGAUGUGCACUAGGCGUGGGGCACGUACGUGUUCUGUGCCGUAGUUAACGUGAUAAGUGCACCGCCUGGGGAGUAUGCUCGCAAGGGUGAA